CUUAAUCUCUCUGUGUCUCAGGUUCCUCAUCCAUAAAUUGGGGGGUUUGUUUGUUUGUUUGUUUGUUUUCUGGAGACGGAGUCUCACUCCAUUGCCAGGUUGGAGUGCAGUGGCGUCAUCUCGGCUAACUGCAACCUCUGCCUCCCGGGUUCAAGCGAAUUCUCCUGCUUCAGCCUCCCAAGUAGCAGGGAUUAUAGCCACCCGCCACCAUGCCCAGCUAAUUUUUGUAUUUUUGGUAGAGACAGGGUUUCACCAUGUUGGUCAGGCUGAUCUUGAAUUCCUGACUUCAGGUGACCCAUCCAUCUCUGCCUCCCAAAGUGCCAGGAUGACAGAUGUGAGCUACCACACCCAGCCCAUAAACUGAGGUUUUUAAUAGUACCUCAUGAAGUAGUUGGGAGGAUCAAGAAUGUUAAGUCACCUAAGGUACCUAGUACAGUUUCUAGUAGACAUUAAGCAGCCAAUACAUUUUACCAUUAUUAUACUAUUCAACAUGACUAAAAUGUCAUGCAACUUCAGGGUAUUUCUGUUCCUUUUAUAUUUAUUGUCGUUAUUAUUCUAUGAAAAAAGAUGAUUCCCAAUCUGAUAUGAAUAAAGUAUUUGUGUAAUUCAUUAUGCAAAAUGUAAGAUGGAUAAUUUUUUUACACCAAGCUAUAUUAACCAAACCUCAUUCUUAAACUUUUGGAGUCAUUUUUCUCCUAAUGAGAUAGAGGAUACUAAUAGGCACAAGGCCCACUAUGCUUCUUUAACCUUUUCAAUAUUUACUCUCCUACACAUGCUGCAUGUAUUCAGGCCAUCUGGACUAUUACUGGUCCCAGGAUAUACUCUGCUUUCUAAUAUCACCACAUUGUUCUCUAUAUUCUUUUUAAAGGGUUCUUGGUUAUGUACUGGCAGAAAGUUCACUGGCAUCUGUGGGAAUGUAUAUGGUCUUCUGCAUUUAGAAUUAGAUCCUAAAACCUGUGUGCCAAUUUACAAAUUCCUUUCCUCUCACUUAAUUGUCACCUCCACCCCAAUCUCCAAAUGCCCUUAGAGUCCUUAAGAGAAGAAACAGGAGAUAUCCCAAAAAGGAGGAGGUCCUCUCAAUGUCUAGAUCACUGUGUUGCCUGCUUAGCUUCCCUCUGGUAGAACUUGAGAGGACACAUGGUCUAUGAGCCAUCUUUGUGCCACAAUUGCUGCCCCACUUUCCCUAGGAGCUGGAUGUAUUUCACCAGUUUUUACGUUAAGUAAUACGACAUUUGGAGGGUUGGGCUGUUGGAGGAUUUUUUCAUGACCUACCCAUCAGAAGUGGUGUGUGACUUCUGAGGCUAGGUCUUAAACUGAGGUCUCUUGCCAACAACCAGCACCAUGUGAAAUGCUCUCCAGUCACUGUCAAACUUUCAGCCUGGCCAAAAUGUUAACUGCAACCUCAUGAGGGACUUCAAGCCAGAACCACUCAACUAAGCUGCUCCUGAAUUCAUGACCUACAGAAAGUACAUUCAUGAGAGAAAUGGGUCUGCAGUUUUUCUUUUUUUGUAAUUUGGCAUUAGGGAAAUGCUGGCCUUAUAAAGUAGUGAGUUAGAAAGUGUGCCCUCUGCUUCUGUUUUCUGUAACAGUCGGUAAAGAACUGGUAUCUUUUGUUCCUUAAAUCUUUGGUAGACUUCACCGAUGAAACUGUCUAGGCCUGGUAAUUUCUGUUUGGAAGGUUAUUAAUUACUAAAUCAAUUUUUAAAAUAGAAAGCCCUAUUUAGAUUAUCUGUUUUUUCUUGUGUGAGUUUCAGUAGACUAUGUCUGUGCAGUAAUGGACAAUGGCCAGGUCAAGGGCAGAACAGGAUACAACCAGCAGAAAAGCCCUGAGGCAGGAAAUAGCUUGGCAUGUUAAAGUAAGGGAAAGGUGGCUCCUUUGUCUGGAACCUAGAGAGCCAUAGAGGGAGUGAGACAAGGAGGUGGGAGCAUCAGGCAGAAAGAGACCAGACCGAUGAGCUUUGCCUUGUCAGAAUUUAGGAUUCUAUCUUAGGGCAAUGGGAAACCCUGACAGCUUAUACAAAUCUCCUUAAAUCUGAGAUGUAGCCACAUUCUGAAGUCCUCUCGAUCUUUAAGAUCUGCACUCUGCAAAGCCAAAAAACCUGUCUGGGAAAAUUCAGCAAUGACUAAUACGAGAGUAGAUCAACAGGCAAACAUUGAGUAUAAUUAUUAUUUUUUGGCGGGGCACAGGUAUUAAAGCAGUGGUUCUCAACAUUGGCUGCAAAGUGGAAUCACCUGGGGAGUUUUGAAAAUUACUACUUCCUUGAAACCCCAAUUUUAGAGCCUUGAUCGAACUGGUCUGAGAUAAGGUAGGAGGAUUUCUAAAUGCUUCUCAGUGAUUCAAAUGUGCAGCCAAAGUUGAGAACCAUUAGUAGGGAAGCUAGAAUGCUCACAGUUUUAAUAAUUUGUAUUCUGCCAUGUAUGCAUUCAUUUUCAGAAGGAAGUUUUAAAAAUAGCCAGUAUGUUUGCCCUGAACUGUACUUAGUGCUUCAAAAAGGUAGACUUUUUAAAUUGUCAUGACAACCUCUCAAGAAUUUUCUUACAUACAAUUGUUUUAAUCUUAUUUUCCCCCAUUGGAUGGAUAAAGAAAUUAAGAUAUAGAAUUUGAAUAAUUUGCCCAAGGCUUCAUCACUAAUAAACAGAAGAGCUGGCAUUUGAACUCAGGAAGUAUGGCUCCUAAGUUCUCAUUUGCAUCUACUGUUCCCAAACCUCUAUUUUAUGGAGUCAAAAUGAAGAUGACAACCUGCCUGCAUUCUACAUUGCCAGCACAAAAAAAGAGAACUGCUUCUUGUAAUUCAGGUCCUCCAAAAACCAGACCAAAGCCCAACAGGAAAAAGUCAUAAAAUAAUAAUCUCUGCCAAAAGAGAAGAAAAUUUAUAUUUAUAUAUAUUUUUAACCACAUAAUGAGAUUCAAGUAUUACAAAUUAAUCCCCAAUUAAAUAUAUUGGUAGGUAAUUUGAAAAAGAAGUAGGUCACUGUAGUGGCCUAGAAAGUAAAAUAGAAGAACUCUCUCAAGGCAUAGAGUAAAAAAAAAAAAGUGAAAUGGAAAUUAGGAGAGAAAAGAUAAGCAACUGGAAGAGAAAGUCGAAAGGUCCAAUAUAUAAAAUAUAGGCAUUCUAGAUACACAAAAGAAACAUUGGAGGAGGGCUAAAGACCCAGUUUUAUGAAUUAAAAAAGCUUCCAGAAAUCCAAGGUAGACUAAAUUGAGGAAAAAUGUUAUAUACACAAUCAGGUAAAAUUCCUGAACUUUAAAGAGCAAAUAUUAUUUGCUACCAGUUAGAAAGAAAAGGUUGUCAAAAAUGAAAAAGAAUCAGACUUGCAUUGUACUUCUUAUUUGUAAUGCUGGAAACUUGAAACAGUGGAAUAUCAUCUUUAGAGAAAAGGCAAGACUCUCUACCUAGCCAUGAUAUGUGAAGUAUAUACUAAGCCCCCUGACUGACUGAAUGGACCUCUGUUGGCCAAGGAGACCCCAGAAAAACUAAAAAUUCAAUUUCUAGACCAUAAUGAGACAGGAAUUCAGUCACACCUCAGUAUACCCUUUUGUUCAUUAACGUACCAGAUCUUUCUUAAGAGUUAAACAGAAAGCAGCCCUGGAAAACAAAGAAUGGAAAACCCUUCCACUGACUUCAGCUUCAACCACAACCUGACACUAUGGCCAGACUCCCCUCCCUUUUUCAGUUUAAACAUGUCAGGUUACCAGUUUCACAAAGUUUUCCUUCUUUUUUUUAAUUGCAUUUUAGGUUUUGGGGUACAUGUGCAGAACAUGCAAGAUAGUUGCAUAGGUACACACAUGGCAGUGUGAUUUGCUGCCUUCCUCCCCUUCACCCACAUCUGGCAUUUCUCCCCAUGCUAUCCCUCCCCAGCUCCCCCUUGCUGUCCCUCCCCUAUUCCCCCCAACAGACCCUAGUGUGUAGUGCUCCCCUCUCUGUAUCCAUGUGUUCUCAUUUUUCAUCACCCGCCUAUGAGUGAGAACAUGUGGUAUUUCAUUUUCUGUUCUUGUGUCAGUUUGCUGAGAAUGAUGUUCUCCAGAUUCAUCCAUGUCCCUAUAAAGGACAUAAACUCAUCAUUUUUGAUUGCUGCAUAAUAUUCCAUGGUGUAUAUGUGCCGCAUUUUCCCAGUCAAGUCUAUCAUGGAUGGGCAUUUGGGUUGGUUCCAGGUCUUUGCUAUUGUAAACAGUGCUGCAAUGAACAUUCGUGUGCAUGUGUCCUUAUAGCAGAACGAUUUAUAGUCCUUUGGAUAUAUACCCAGUAAUGGGAUUGCUGGGUCAAAUGGAAUUUCUAGUGGUUCUAGGUCCUUGAGGAAUCGCCACACUGUCUUCCACAAUGGUUGAACUAAAUUACAAUCCCACCAGCAGUGUAAAAGUGUUCCUAUUUCUCCACAUCCUCUCCAGCAUCUGUUGUCUCCAGAUUUUUUAAUGAUCACCAUUCUAACUGGCGUGAGAUGGUAUCCCCAUGUGGUUUUGAUUUGCAUUUCUCUAAUGACCAGUGAUGAUGAGCAUUUUUUUCAUAUGUUUGUUGGCCUCAUGUAUGUCUUCUUUUGUAAAGUGUCUGUUCAUAUCCUUUGCCCAUUUUUGAAUGGGCUUGUUUGUUUUUUUCUUGUAAAUCUGUUUGAGUUCUUUGUAAAUUCUGGAUAUCAGCCCUUUGUCAGAUGAAUAAACUGCAAAAAUUUUUUCCCAUUGUGUUGGUUGCCGAUUCACUCUAAUGACUGUUUCUUUUCCCGUGCAGAAGCUGUGGAGUUUGAUUAGGUCCCAUUUGUCUAUUUUGUCUUUUGUUGCCAAUGCUUUUGGUGUUUUGGUCAUGAAGUCCUUGCCUACUCCUAUGUCCUGAAUGGUUUUGCCUAGAUUUUCUUCUAGGGUUUUUAUGGUGCCAGGUCUUAUGUUUAAGUCUUUAAUUUAUCUGGAGUUAAUUUUAGUGUAAGGUGUCAGGAAGGGGUCCAGUUUCUGCUUUCUGCACAUGGCUAGCCAGUUUUCCCAAUACCAUUUAUUAAACAGGGAAUCCUUUCCCCAUUGCUUGUUUUUGUCAGGUUUAUCAAAGACUGUAUGGUAGUAGAUAUGUUGUGUUGCCUCCGAUGCCUCUGUUCUGUUCCAUUGGUCUAUAUCUCUAUUUUGGUACCAGUACCAUGCUGUUUUGAUUACUGUAGCCUUGUAGUAUAGUUUGAAGUCCAGUAGUGUGAUGCCUCCUGCUGUGUUCUUUUUGCGUAGAAUUGACUUGGCUAUGUGGGCUCUCUUUUGGUUCCAUAUGAAGUUUAAGGUAGUUUUUUCCAGUUCUGUGAAGAAGGUACAUUGGUAGCUUGAUGGGGAUAGCAUUGAAUCUGUAAAUUACUUUGGGCAGUAUAGCCAUUUUCAUGAUAUUGAUUCUUCCUAACCGUGAACAUGGAAUGCUUCUCCAUCUGUUUGUGUUCUCUCUUAUUUUGUUGAGCAGUGGUUUGUAAUUCUCCUUGAAGAGGUCCUUUACAUUCCUUGUUAGUUGUAUUCCUAGGUAUUUUAUUCUCUUUGUAGCAAUUGUGAAUGGCAAUUCGUUCUUGAUUUGGCUCUCUUUCAGUCUGUUAUUGGUUUAUAGGAAUGCUUGUGAUUUUUGCACAUUGAUUUUGUAUCCUGAACUGAGAUAAUAACAAACAGUCUCUCAGACCAUAGUGCAAUCAAGUUAGAACUCGGAAUUCAGAAACUAACUCAGAACCGUACAGCUUCAUGGAAACUGAACAACUGGCUCUUGAAUGUUGACUGAAUAAACAAUAAAAUGAAGGCAGAAAUAAAGAAGUUCUUCGAAACCAACGAGAACGAAGACACAACAUACCGGAAUCUCUGGGACACAUUUAAAGCAGUCUCUAGAGGAAAAUGUAUAGCAAUAAGUGCCCACAUGAGAAGAGUGGAGAGAUCCAAAAUUGAUACCCUAUCAUCAAAAUUGAAAGAGCUAGAGGGGCAAGAUCAAAAAAACUCAAAACCUAGCAGAAGACAAGAACUAACUAAGAUCAGAGCAGAACUGAAGGAGAUAGAGACACGAAAAACCCUUCAAAAAAUCAAUAAAUCCAAGAGCUGGUUUUUUGAAAAGAUCAACAAAAUAGACCACUAGCCAGAUUGAUAAAAAGGAAAAGAGAGGACAUGCCUCGGUUUCUGUUAGCAACCAGAGGCUUCUAAACAACCUAUCCUCCCUCCGCAUCUCUGGUCCAAACAGCCUCGGCGAUCCCAACCUUGGCGGGGCACCUCCUGGCCUCUCCGGUUCCUUUAGGCUGCCGGCUGCCGCCGGCCGCCUGCCACCAUGGCAGAGUUGGGCCUAAAUGAGCACCAUCAAAAUGAAGUUGUUAAUUAUAUGCGUUUUGCUCAUUCAAAGAGAGGCUUGAGACUCAAAACUGUAGAUUCCUGCUUCCAAGACCUCAAAGAGAGCAGGUUGGUGGAGGAGACCUUCACCAUAGAUAAAGUCUCUGAAGUCCUCAAUGCAUUGCAAGCUGUGGUUCAUAGCGAGGUGGAAUCUGAGCUCAUCAACACUGCCUAUACUAAUGUGUUACUUCUGCGACAGCUGUUUGCACAAGCUGAGAAGUGGUAUCUUAAGCUUCAGACAGACGUCUCUGAACUUGAAAACCGAGAAUUAUUAGAACAAGUGCAGAAUUUGAAAACGCAGAGAUAACAUCUUCAAACAAAAAUCCCAUUCCCAUUGAUGAUAUCACAAAACCAAAGCUUGCUCCACUUAAUGAAAGUGGAACAGCAGGACUCCUAAACAAGGAAAUUUUAAGAAUUCAAGAAGAGAAUGAGAAAUUGAAGUCAAGGUUGAAGACCAUUGAAAUACAGGCUACAAAUGCACUGGAUAAAAGUCCAAACUAGAAAAAGCACUGCAAGACUUACAACUUGAUCAAGGAAAUCAAAAGGAUUUUAUAAAGGCCCAAGACUUGCAUAACUUAGAAAACACAGUCGCUGCUUUAAAGAGUGAGUUUCAGAAGACACUUGAUAAUACAGAAAACCAGAAGUCACUGGGGGAGAAUCUGGCAACAGCUAAGCACGACUUAGGGUUCAGGAGCAGCUGCGCAUGGCUGAAAAGGAAUUAGAAAAGAAGUUUCAGCAAACAGCAGCUUAUCGAAACAUGAAAGAGAUUCUUACCAAGAAGAAUGAGCAAAUCAAAGAUCUGAGGAAAAGCCUGGCACAAUAUGAACCUGAUGAUUAAAACUGAAGACUGCAUCUGGAAGCUGACACAUACAAACAUACACGCAGUCUCACGCAGGCAUGUCUCACUCAGGCAUGUAUUCUGAAGAAUUUGGUCACAUCCCCUUUUUAUUUUUCCAAUAUUUAGACUUUGCUUCUAAUAUUUAAAACUAGAUUUCAUAUUUUCAGCUAAUUGAAAACAGGGAAAACCUAGUGAUUUUGGCUGGUCAUCCCACACACCUCUCUAAUGAGUGCCCCACAGUCUUAGCUCGCACACACUGAGAAUUCUUUAAAGAGAUUUUUAGAGUGCGAAGAAGAGUCUUAUCUUUCUGCAUUAGUAUAAAGAGUCUAUCUUUUUAAUAAAUGUUAAAGAAGCUAACAAUGUCUGUACUUACGCAUUCCUCAUGAGUAAAAAUAAAUAGGAUUAUUAAAGAUAGUUAUCAACAGAGAUAGUUAUUACAAAUAAAUAUGUCUCUUUAUUUUUUAAAAUGAAAUCUUAAUUCAUUUACUCUAUUUGAUGAUGAAAAAACUAUGAAUUCCUUGAAAAUGUGAAUUCUAUUCCACCUAUUAUGGGUAGCCCUCUUACCAAUUAUAAGGAAAAUUAACUGCAGUGAACAUGAACAUUCAUUUAAGCUCCCCAGUCUCUCCAUUUUAAAGACCAUUUAUCAGAGGUGGCUCAAUGUUUUUGGCAGCAUGACUUUUCAUGAGUCUGUGUUGCUAAUGUAUAAGUCAAAUCCAUCCUGCACUUCUACAGUUUAGAAAGUAUCUGGACUCAGAAUAAAUGUAAUAUUUAUACUUGUUGCCAGAAUAUUCUUUUACAUUUUAUGUUAAAUAAGAACACUUUUUAAAAGACUUAUACUCAACAUAAAAUCAGCUAUCAGACUUCAGAUUGGACUUUAUUUAUGUAGUAAUUAUAUUUUCAAGAGGUUUUCACUAUAUUUUUAUUGGCCUUGUUUUUUUUAGAAGAUUUUGAACAAAUUAUUAGGAAUUGGGUGUCAUGUCCACACUUGUGUAAGGCAGCAGUAUACUAUAGGGAUAAACAAAGUGAAGUCUAUAAAGCAGUAUCCAUCAGAAUGAACGUCCUUACUCUUCACAUAUUAAUAGUGAUUAUUCCUGCUUCUAAGAGUAUCACACCUAAAUGAACACUGUCUACUAAGAGACAUCCAGUUCCACAAAUGAAAACAUUCCACUUCCAUAAAUGAAGAUUUGAUUCCAAGAGACAAGUUUACUGAUUGGAGUAUAGGCUUGUUAUUAUUUUUAGUCAAGCUUUUAAUAAUAGCCUUGAAUUUAUUAUUUUUCUUAUAAGCUUUUUGUUAAAAUAGUAAAGGAACAAAUGACAAAGGGUAAGAUAAUUUCCCUGCAAAAGGACACAGAAGGCAGAGUAAGAUGAAUGGAUCAGAGAAGGGAGAGAUCAAAUGCAGUAACAAGCCAGCACUUGCUAUAUGUUUCUUCCUCACCUCUCACCAUAUUUAUGUCACUUAUCAGUUUCUGUGUCCUUUUGGAGCUUUUGUUGAGGGCUUCAGCCUCACCCUGUAUUUCUUUAGCCCUAAACUGACACUCUCUCUGAAAAUCCAUUCCAUUAUCUGUGGCCCAAGAUAUUCUAUAUAAUUCAGAAGCAGAACUUUUGGCUAAAGGGUUAGUGUGUCUUUCAGAAACCAUUCAAUUAUUUUCUCCCUAUACCUUUCUCAGUUUGAUACCAGUGGGGAAAGAAGGUACGUUGAUAAGAAACCUAUAUUGCAGGGUAGAAUUUGUACUUGUUUUCUUGGUAGCAAUUUUGCAAUAUUCUGUAGAGUAUGUUCCUAUUGUUUAAUAAAACAUUUCUAUAAAAAUAAAACAUUUGUGUAAAACCUUAAAACCUAACUAUGCCAAGCAUUAAGAUAAACAGAUAUGAUGUCCUUUGACAUAAAUCAACAUGAUGAUUCUUUCACAUGUAAACACAUUUUAGUGUUUCUGGUUUGUCUUUUGUGUGCGUUGUUGCUUUUAUUUACACUAUACCCUUAGCAAAAUACAGUGUUCAAUUUUCAUUGUUUUUAGUAGUUUCCCAACUUUAAGAUUUAUCUUGUUUAACUGAGCAAGAAAGCCUUUUUUGUAUAUAUAUUUUGGAUUUCUAAGAAUGUUGGUUUGAGCCUUGAUUAGACUUUUAAUGUGCUAAGUCAGAUAGGCAGUCUGUGCACUGGUGAUCAUCGCAAUGCAGCUUUGGUUUAAUUUAAUUCAGGGCUGCUGCUGAAUUAUGUGCAGACUUUUUGUUGACCAAAAUAAAAUGUUAAGGGUUUUUGUUAUUAAUUUCUUCUGUUUGACAUUUAAGUGUUCAUUUUUUUCUUUAUGUAUUUUUCCUUUAUGUAUUUUGAACCCAUAUUAAAUAAAUGUUUAUAUGAUUA